AGCGACCCCCUCGGCCGGCCGGAAACAGCAGCGAGCCUCUUCAGGGCCAGACCCCGGGGGACGCGCCCACUGACACCGCGGGCCACGCCACCACGGACACGCGUGACAACGCCCACGCGGCGCUCCGGCACGCCGCGCCUGUGAGUCCAUUUCCACUCCGCAUCGGGUCAUCCUCCGGUCUCGGGACCGCACCCACCAGACCCAGCCAGGGCGGCCCGGCCCGGCCCGCUAGGCCCGGCCCCAGACCGGAAGCCUCCGCCGCCCCUCUCCUCACCGUGUCGACCCCUGAGCCGUCUUCUCGGGUGCCCUCGUUCUCCUCACCGACCGCGGCCUCCAGCACAGCGCCAGGGCCACCCAGCGGCUCCAGGGGUCCAGGCUGCAAGAGCUUCUCGGGGUCCGGAGGUGCCUGCUCCAUAGCUGUAGUUUGGCACCGCGAGUCCAGUGCGCCUGCGCGGGGCCUUGACUCCAGCCGCCCCGCCCUCUGCUUGUGGUAGCUCCGCCCUGCGCUCUCGGUAGUCCCGCCCCUGCCCACAGAAACUCCUCCUAGGCAGCGGAGACCCCAGAACGCUGGACCACCAGCCAAGACCUGCGACCGAGGGAGGUAGGGGAAAGCUAGGGCGACUACAGAGGGUUGGCUACAAAACUGGUAAUCUGGGAGAGCCGGUAAAGACAUAAAGAAACUAAAGUGAAGUGAACUCAAGAAGUGCAGAAGCCACUCAGAUUGGCGAUCCCCUCAAGUAAUUGUGUCAUUAAAAAGAAAGGGAGAUUGUCUUGUG
rnacentral:lncRNA from 1 species